ensembl:lncRNA
CCCCACAUUUGGGGUCUCUGGGGUCUCUUUGGUCUCCAUUUGGGGUCUCUGGGGUCACCUUCUGGGGUAUCCAUUUGGGGUCACCUUUUGGGGUCUCUAUUUGGGGUCCCUUUGGUCUCCAUUUGGUCUCCAUUUGGGGUCCUUUUGGGGUCACCUUUUGGGGUCUCCAAUUGGAGUCUCCAUUUGGGGUCUCCAUUUGGGGUCUCCAUUUGGGGUCUCCAGGGUCCCCUUUUGGGGUCUCCAUUGGGGUCUCCAUUUGGGGUCCCCUUUUGGGGUCUCCAUUUGGGGUCCCUUUGGUUUCCAUUUGGGGUCUCUGGGGUCCCCUUUUGGGGUCUCCAUUGGGGUCCCCUUUUGGGGUCUCCAUUUGGGGUCUCUAUUUGGGGUCUCCAUUGGGGUCCCUUUGGUUUCCAUUGGGGGCCCCUGGGGUCCCCUUUUGGGGUCUCCAUUGGGGUCCCAUUGGUCUCCAUUUGGGGUCUCCAUUUGGGAUCUCUAUUUGGGGUCCCUUUGGUCUCCAUUUGGGGUCUCUUUGGUCUCCAUUGGGGGUCUCUGGGGUCUCAACUUGGGGUCUCUGGGGUCCCCUUUUGGGGUCUCCAUUUGGGGUCCCUGGGGUCCUUUUGUUCUCCAUUUGGGGUCCCUUUGGUUUCCAUUUGGGGUCCCCUUUUGCGGUCUCCAUUUGGGAUCUCUAUUUGGGGUCCCUUUGGUCUCCAUUUGGGGUCUCUGGGGUCCCCUUUUGGGGUCUCCAUUGGGGUCCCCUUUUGGGGUCCCCUUUUGGGGUGUCCAUUGGGGUCCCCUUUUGGGGUCCAUUUGGGGUCUCCAUUUGGGGUGUCCAUUGGGGUCCCAUUGGUCUCCAUUUGGGGUCUUCAUUGGGGUCUCCAUUGGGGUCCCUUUGGUCUCCAUUUGGGGUCCCCUUUUGGGGUCCCCUUUUGGGGUGUCCAUUGGGGUCCCCUUUUGGGGUCUCCAUUUGGGGUCUCCAUUGGGGUCCCUUUGGUUUCCAUUGGGGGUCCCUGGGGUCCCCUUUUGGGGUCCUUUCUGUCACCUUUUGGGGUCUCCAUUUGGGGUCUCUGGGGUCUCCUUUUGGGGUCCCCUUUUGGGGUCUCCAUUGGGGGUCUCUGGGGUCCCCUUUUGGGGUCUCCAUUGGGGUCUCCUUUUGGGGUCCCCUUUUGGGGUCCCCUUUUGGGGUCUCCAUUGGGGUCCCCUUUUGGGGUGUCCAUUGGGGUCUCCUUUUGGGGUCCCCUUUUGGGGGUCUCUAUUGGGGUCCCUUUGGUCUCCAUUUGGUCUCCAUUUGGGGUCCCCUUUUGGGGUCUCUAUUUGGGGUCUCCAUUGGGGUCCCUUUGGUUUCCAUUGGGGGUCCCUGGGGUCCCCUUUUGGGGUCUCCAUUUGGGAUCUCUGGGGUCUCCAUUUGGGGUCUCCAUUGGGGUCCCAUUGGUCUCCAUUUGGGGUCCCCUUUUGGGGUCUCCAUUUGGGGUUUUGGGGUGUCCAUUGGGGUCCCUUUGGUUUCCAUUUGGGGUCUCAAUUUGGGGUCUCUGGGGUCUCCAUUUGGGGACUCCAUUUGGGGUCCAUUUGGGGUGUCCAUUGGGGUCCCAUUGGUCUCCAUUUGGGGUCCCCUUUUGGGGUGUCCAUUGGGGUCUCCAUUGGGGGUCUCUGGGGUCCCCUUUUGGGGUCUCCAUUGGGGUCCCAUUGGUCUCCAUUUGGGGUCCCUGGGGUCCCCUUUUGGGGUCUCCAUUUGGGGUCUCUAUUUGGGGUCUCCAUUGGGGUCCCAUUGGUCUCCAUUUGGGGUCCCCUUUUGGGGUCUCCAUUGGGGUCCCUUUGGUCUCCAUUUGGGGUCCCCUUUUGGGGUGUCCAUUGGGGUCUCCAUUAGGGUCCCAUUGGUCUCCAUUGGGGUCUCCAUUUGGGGUCCCCUUUUGGGGUCUCCAUUUGGGAUCUCUAUUUGGGGUCCCUUUGGUCUCCAUUUGGGGUCCCUUUGGUUUCCAUUUGGGGGUCUCUGGGGUCCCCUUUUGGGGUCUCCAUUUGGGGUCCCUUUGGUUUCCAUUCAGGGCUCCAUUUGGGGUCUCCAUUGGGGUCCCAUUGGGGUCCCAUUGGUCUCCAUUUGGGGUCCCCUUUUGGGGUGUCCAUUGGGGUCCCAUUGGGGUCUCUAUUUGUGGUGUCCAUUGUGGUCUCCCCAUGGCCCCCUCCCCUAUUUCCCCCAUAGAAGCAGGCGCUGAUGGAGCAGGUCGCCCACCAGACCAUCGUGAUGCAGUUCAUCCUGGAACUGGCCAAGAGCCUCAAGGUGGAUCCACGCGCCUGUUUCAGGCAGUUCUUCACCAAAAUCAAGACGGCCGACCAGCAGUACAUGGAGGGUUUCAAUGACGAGCUGGAGGCCUUCAAGGAUCGUGUGCGGGGCCGGGCCAAGGCUCGUAUUGAACGAGCCAUGAGGGAAUACGAGGAGGAGGAGAGACAGAAGAGACUGGGGCCGGGGGGGCUCGACCCCGUAGAGGUCUAUGAGUCAUUGCCUGAGGUGAGUGGGGGGCUAUGGGGCGAUCUAUGGGGCAGGGGUGGUUCUGUGGGGCAGGUGGUCAAGUAUAUGGGGCAGGUGGUCCAUUAUAGGGGGCAGGUGGUCCAUUAAAGGGGGCAGGUGGUCCAUUAUAGGGUCUAUGAGUCAUUGCCUGAGGUGAGUGGGGGGCUAUGGGGUGAUCUAUGGGGCAGGGGGGCAGAGGGGGCCAGGUAUAGGGGUCACAUACCCAAUUAUAGGGGGCAGGUGGCCCAUUAUAGGGUCUAUGAGUCAUUGCCCGAGGUGAGGGGGGGGCUAUGGGGCGAUCUAUGGGGCGGGGGUGAUUCUAUGGGGCAGGUGGUCCAUUAUAGGGGUCACAUACCCAAUUAUAGGGGGCAGGUGGCCCAUUAUAGGGUCUAUGAGUCACUGCCUGAGUUUGAUGCGCGUAUGGGGUGAUUCUAUGGGCUGGGUAUUCUAUGGCUGGGGGGUCUAGGGGCAAGGGUGAUGCUAUGGGAAGGGGGUUCU